GAUGAACGCUGGCGGCGUGCCUAAUACAUGCAAGUCGAGCGAACAGACGAGGAGCUUGCUCCUCUGACGUUAGCGGCGGACGGGUGAGUAACACGUGGAUAACCUACCUAUAAGACUGGGAUAACUUCGGGAAACCGGAGCUAAUACCGGAUAAUAUAUUGAACCGCAUGGUUCAAUAGUGAAAGAGGGUUUUGCUGUCACUUAUAGAUGGAUCCGCGCCGCAUUAGCUAGUUGGUAAGGUAACGGCUUACCAAGGCAACGAUGCGUAGCCGACCUGAGAGGGUGAUCGGCCACACUGGAACUGAGACACGGUCCAGACUCCUACGGGAGGCAGCAGUAGGGAAUCUUCCGCAAUGGGCGAAAGCCUGACGGAGCAACGCCGCGUGAGUGAUGAAGGUCUUCGGAUCGUAAAACUCUGUUAUUAGGGAAGAACAACUGUGUAAGUAACUAUGCACGUCUUGACGGUACCUAAUCAGAAAGCCACGGCUAACUACGUG
rnacentral:rRNA from 1 species